UGAGGAAUCUUGCGCAAUGGGGGAAACCCUGACGCAGCAACGCCGCGUGAGUGAGGAAGGCCUUCGGGUCGUAAAGCUCUGUCAGAUGGGAAGAAAUGGGUGGGGGCUAAUAUCGUCCAUCCUUGACGGUACCAUCAGAGGAAGCACCGGCUAACUCCGUGCCAGCAGCCGCGGUAAUACGGGGGGUGCAAGCGUUGUUCGGAAUCAUUGGGCGUAAAGCGCGCGCAGGCGGCUUGGUAAGUCAGAUGUGAAAUCCCUGGGCUUAACCCAGGAAGUGCAUUUGAUACUGCCUCGAUAGAGGACGGGAGAGGAAAGUGGAAUUCCUGGUGUAGAGGUGAAAUGCGUAGAUAUCAGGAGGAACACCGGUGGCGAAGGCGACUUUCUGGCCCGAUACUGACGCUCAGGCGCGAAAGCGUGGGGAGCAAACA
rnacentral:rRNA from 1 species